rnacentral:rRNA from 1 species
UAAUACCGCAUACGAUCUACGGAUGAAAGCGGGGGAUCGAAAGACCUCGCGCUAUAGGGGCGGCCGAUGGCGGAUUAGCUAGUUGGUGGGGUAAAGGCCUACCAAGGCGACGAUCCGUAGCUGGUCUGAGAGGACGAUCAGCCACACUGGGACUGAGACACGGCCCAGACUCCUACGGGAGGCAGCAGUGGGGAAUUUUGGACAAUGGGGGAAACCCUGAUCCAGCAAUGCCGCGUGUGUGAAGAAGGCCUUCGGGUUGUAAAGCACUUUUGUUCGGGAAGAAAACGUUCGAGCUAAUAUCUUGAGCGGAUGACGGUACCGGAAGAAUAAGCACCGGCUAACUACGUGCCAGCAGCCGCGGUAAUACGUAGGGUGCGAGCGUUAAUCGGAAUUACUGGGCGUAAAGNGUGCGCAGGCGGUUUGUUAAGACGGAUGUGAAAUCCCCGGGCUCAACCUGGGAACUGCAUUCGUGACUG